rnacentral:rRNA from 1 species
UACGUAGGGCGCAAGCGUUGUCCGGAAUUAUUGGGCGUAAAGAGCUCGUAGGCGGUCUGUUACGUCUGCUGUGAAAACCCAGGGCUUAACCCUGGGCUUGCAGUGGAUACGGGGCAGACUAGAGGCAGGUAGGGGAGAAUGGAAUUCCCGGUGUAGCGGUGAAAUGCGCAGAUAUCGGGAGGAACACCGGUGGCGAAGGCGGUUCUCUGGGCCUGACCUGACGCUGAGGAGCGAAAGCGUGGGGAGCGAACAGG